GGGGAAUUUUGGACAAUGGGCGCAAGCCUGAUCCAGCAAUGCCGCGUGUGUGAAGAAGGCCUUCGGGUUGUAAAGCGCUUUUGUCCGGAAAGAAAAGCUUCGGGUUAAUACCCCGGGGUUCUGACGGUACCGGACGAAUAAGCACCGGCUAACUUCGUGCCAGCAGCCGCGGUAAUACGACGGGUGCAAGCGUUACUCGGAAUUACUGGGCGUACAGCGUGCGUAGGUGGUUGUUUAAGUCUGAUGUGAAAGCCCUGGGCUCAACCUGGGGAUGGCAUUGGAAACUGGGCAGCUAGGGGGCGGUAGAGGGUAGUGGAAUUCCCGGUGUAGCAGUGAAAUGCGUAGAGAUCGGGAGGAACAUCUGUGGCGAAGGCGACUGCCUGGACCAGCACUGACACUGAGGCACGAAAGCGUGG
rnacentral:rRNA from 1 species